rnacentral:rRNA from 1 species
GAUGAACGCUGGCGGCGUGCCUAAUACAUGCAAGUCGAGCGAACAGACGAGGAGCUUGCUCCUCUGACGUUAGCGGCGGACGGGUGAGUAACACGUGGAUAACCUACCUAUAAGACUGGGAUAACUUCGGGAAACCGGAGCUAAUACCGGAUAAUAUAUUGAACCGCAUGGUUCAAUAGUGAAAGACGGUUUUGCUGUCACUUAUAGAUGGAUCCGCGCCGCAUUAGCUAGUUGGUAAGGUAACGGCUUACCAAGGCAACGAUGCGUAGCCGACCUGAGAGGGUGAUCGGCCACACUGGAACUGAGACACGGUCCAGACUCCUACGGGAGGCAGCAGUAGGGAAUCUUCCGCAAUGGGCGAAAGCCUGACGGAGCAACGCCGCGUGAGUGAUGAAGGCCUUCGGAUCGUAAAACUCUGUUAUUAGUGAAGAACAAAUGUGUAAGUAACUAUGCACGUCUUGACGGUACCUAAUCAGAAAGCCACGGCUAACUACGUG